rfam:Echinostoma caproni strain Egypt genome assembly, scaffold: ECPE_scaffold0000396
GCACUACUGACGAGUCCCAAACAGGACGAAACAUGUGUUCAGUGC